UCAGCAGCCGCGGUAAUACGAAGGUUGCAAGCGUUGUUCGGAAUCACUGGGCUUAAAGAGCACGUAGGCGGCCCAUCAAGUACCUUGUGAAAUCCCCCGGCUCAACCGAGGAAUUGCUUGGUAUACUGUUCGGGCUUGAGGCAGGUAGGGGCACGUGGAACUCUUGGUGGAGCGGUGGAAUGCGUAGAUAUCAAGAGGAACGCCGGAGGCGAAAGCGAUGUGCUGGGCCUGUCCUGACGCUGAGGUGCGAAAGCCAGGGGAGCAAACGGGAUUAGAUACCCCGGUAGUCCUGGCCCUAAACGAUGUCAACUAGGUCGGAGUCACUCUGACGUGUUUCUGGCCGAAACAAAAGCGUUAAGUUGACCGCCUGGGGAGUACGGUCGCAAGGCUAAAACUUAAAGGAAUUGGCGGGGGAC
rnacentral:rRNA from 1 species